UGGGGAUUAGCUCAGUUGGUAGAGCAGGCUCUUGAUAAGGGUCAGGUCACUGGUUCAAGUCCAGUAUCCCCAACCA
rnacentral:tRNA from 1 species